UACGUAGGGGGCAAGCGUUAUCCGGAUUUACUGGGUGUAAAGGGAGCGCAGGCGGCGUGGCAAGUCAGAUGUGAAAACCAUGGGCUCAACCUGUGGCCUGCAUUUGAAACUGUUUUUCUUGAGUACUGGAGAGGCAGACGGAAUUCCUAGUGUAGCGGUGAAAUGCGUAGAUAUAUGGAAGAACACCAGUGGCGAAAGCGGCUUACUGGACUGUAACUGACGUUGAGGCUCGAAAGCGUGGGGAGCAAACAGG
rnacentral:rRNA from 1 species